rnacentral:rRNA from 1 species
UACGUAGGGGGCAAGCGUUAUCCGGAUUUACUGGGUGUAAAGGGGGCGCAGACGGCAAUGCAAGCCAGGAGUGAAAGCCCGGGGCCCAACCCCGGGACUGCUCUUGGAACUGCAUGGCUGGAGUACAGGAGGGGCAGGCGGAAUUCCUAGUGUAGCGGUGAAAUGCGUAGAUAUUAGGAGGAACACCGGUGGCGAAGGCGGCCUGCUGGGCUGUGACUGACGUUGAGGCCCGAAGGCGUGGGGAGCAAACAGG